rnacentral:rRNA from 1 species
GAUAAACCCCUUCCAGCGGGUGCUGUAAUACGUCGGUCGCAAGCUAUAAACGGGACUACAGUGGCUAAAUCUGGCGCAGGCGGCUUAUUAAGUCAGAGUGGAAAUCCCUAGGCUCAACCUAGGAAAUGCAUUUGAAACGAAUAAACUAGAGUAUCGUAGAGGGAGGUAUAAGUCCAGGUGUAGCGGUGAAAUGCGUAGAUAUCUGGAGGAAUACCAGUGGCGAAGGCGACCUCCUGGACGAACACUGACGCUCAAGCACGAAAGCAUGGGGAGCAAACAUGAUUAGACACCCCAGUAGUC